rnacentral:lncRNA from 1 species
UGUGAUUCUUCAUUCCAGGAAACCCUAAAAAGAUGUUCCUUUGCAUGGAAGUAAGUACUGAAAGUUAGGACAUUCCUUUUGAAAGCACCCCAGAAGCAGACACAUUCAUUAAACCUAUUUCUGUACUGCUGUCCCCAGAAAGGCGAAGAAACAGUGAAAAAGGAGAAGUCCACACUGGGAGAAAAGCUAUUUUAUAUAGCAUAAUAAUCUUGUCAGGAAACAGAAAACAAAUUCCUGCCCCAUCUCAAGCUGUGGAAAACCUUGAACUCACAAGAAGCAAUAAGCUCAAACCAUAUAAGAGAAAGCGACUCAAACUUUUGAUAUUAAAAAAGAGGAUCUGUAAUUCUGAAGUGAUUUGCAAAUCUGCAUUUAGGACCACUCAUCCAAGAUAAUGUGGAUUUUCCCAGCCAUUUGGAAGGUGGUAUAGUGUGAUCAUGCUAAGGAAUUCAUGCUGGAUUAAAAAUGUCUCCAAAGAAGCUGCCCCAUAUGAACUUCUAAUGGAUAUGUGGAGAGCAAUGUGUUCCUUGCAUGCUCUGUGGAAAAGCCUAUCAAAACUCUAGAUAUGAGAGAUUAAUUGAGGAAAGGUUUUGAGGGAAAGCACAAUGGUCAACUCCAACAGCUACAGAGUGGCUCAAAAAUUUGAAUCAAAUUCUCCAAAUUUGAUUCAGACUUCAGAAUGGCCCCGAGACCAAGGAAUAUAGGAAAUGAAUGAAAACACAGAAAUAUUGGAAGGCCAAAAAGGCAAGAAGGAUUCAUGCAGAAACUCAACUGUCUCUGAUAUCAAGAUUAACAAUGAGAUUUGUCCUGCUGCUUCUCAGGCUCACUGGCUGUUUCAGAGUAACAAGAGGAUAAAUUCAAUACUGAUCUUCUAUCCACACAAUGACACCUUCGAGGGUCUGAGAGAAAGUUCCAGUCAAAUCCACAUGCAUUAAGGGAACAGAAAUCUGAGAGGCCUGGAAACUGCACAGUACACCUGGAAAGGUGAUGAGAAUGUAACACAGGACAGCAUGGG